UACGUAGGGCGCAAGCGUUAUCCGGAAUUAUUGGGCGUAAAGAGCUCGUAGGUGGUUUGCUAAGUCAGCUGUGAAAUCCCCGGGCUUAACCUGGGCACUGCAGUUGAAACUGGCAAGCUAGAGUAGGGUAGAGGGGUGUGGAAUUCCAGGUGUAGCGGUGAAAUGCGUAGAUAUCUGGAGGAACAUCAGUGGCGAAGGCGACACCCUGGACUCAUACUGACACUGAGGUGCGAAAGCGUGGGGAGCAAACAGG
rnacentral:rRNA from 1 species